CUCUCUCUGCUCCUCCCCUGUCUAAAUGCACACACACUUUCUCUCUCUCAAGAUAAGUAAAUAAACAAACAUUUUGUAAAACUAGAAGGCAUUGCUCUACAGCUGUUUAAUCUUCUCUAAAGCCACAGUACCCCCACUGGUAAAUGAAUAAAAGAAUACAAUCUCAUCGGGUUGUUGGCUAGAUUCUAUGAGGUUAUAGAUUAACAAGCCUGGCAUAGUAUAAGCUUCGUGAGAUAUACUCAAUCAGUAAAUAUUGGUGGCCUUAGUUGUAUGACUCAAUCAAAAUUCAAUCUCAUAGCGACAUUUAUUUUAGCUCUCCCUUUACUCCAAUCAAUUAAUCAGGGAUCUCCUUUUAAUCCAAUUAAUUAAUCCAAUCCAAUUAAUCAGUCGUCUCCAUUGCACUAUUCAUUUCAACUAAUGUCCACUCUUAUUCUGAUGCCCAGCCCCAAUCCCACACUCUCCAAGAGUCCAGUCCAACCACUAUGACAUCAGAAAUGCCUCCAAGUUUUGCAUUCCAUCCAGCCCCUGGGGCUUUACCAGCUGAACUUGAACCACAAUGCUACAGUGAUUCUAAGACAUGAGCUUGAAUGCUGAAGGUUUUAUGCAGCCCAACGCCCUGCAGCAAGACACCCAAACACCCACCUGCGCUCAGUAGCUGAAACUCGUAUUCGCUCUGUGGAUUCAACAGUCCACAGCAACAGCGAAAAAGUUUGCUUAAACCACCUCAGAGCAACACUAGACUACAGAGGAGAACUGAAUGAUCUCCAAGACGAAAGACGGAAGUAACCAAGCAAGACGUGAGAGCCUUCCAAGGAAGAUUCUGACAACCAGCUGCCAAGUUACUGGUACAGCACUUAGUAAAGAAAAUUGAGCAGUGCACAACUGAUGUGCUCAUUAUCAAAGUCUAAGAGGCAUAUUUAUUUGUUUGUUCACUGAUUGAGUCAUUCAACUAGCAUUGGCUGAGUGCCUAAAGUGUGCUAGGCACUGGGGGCUCAACAGUAAAUAAAGGAAAUGGAAUUUACA